rnacentral:lncRNA from 1 species
GCAGAUUGAUGGUAUGAAUUUUUUUAAAAGCUUAAACAAAUAGAUGUAGAUUUCAGUUGUUAUUAUGGAAAAUCAUUGUGCAAAUGAAUUAUUGUUUGUAGCAAAUCAUUUUGUAAAGUAAAUCAUUAUGUAAAGAAAUCAUAUACAUGCAUAUUUAUGUGAUUAUUUGCGAUAAUUAUUUUUAUGAAAAUACUGUUUAUGGCACAAAUUAGAGCUCAAAACGUAGUCUUUUAUUGCUGAAUGAGAAGCAGAGAGUGUGACUACUGGACCAAGUAAUCAAUAAUUUGUUUUUGAUCGUGUAAGCUGUAAACUUACAGGAGCAAGCAAUUGUACAUAUAAGAUUAGUUUCCCUAAUUUAAUCCUUCAGCUUUGCUUGCUGUUUCCCCAAGACAAAGAAAAUCCCUCUUCAAACUAUCUUGUUUCUCCAAGAAAAUGAAAGACUCUCUCUGAACUAUAUCCCAAAUUAGCAUCCCAUCUUCAUUUUCUCUCUCUUAAAAUAAGUUAGAGCGUCUUUCAUUAGGGUUCUUUUUUUUCUCUUUCUAAAAAUCAGGGCCUCUUCCAUUGGGGUUUGUGAAGCCCAUGACCACUAUUUUUGUCCUUAUUCGUCUUUUUAUAAACCCUAAUAAUGGCUAUGAGUUAUUUUUUUCUCGACCUUUUUCGUUCUUCCUUCUCUCUUCUCUUCCUUCUUCCUUUUUCUCUCUCUAAACCGUAAACACAGAUGUGAAACCCAAAUUUCUACGAGUUUGGUCAAUUUUAGAAAAAAAUUAUGCGGAAGUGCGGUCUCUAUGAUUUUUAAUUUUUUUUUAUAUUGCCCCUAUAUUCGAAAAUGCUAUCAUUGGACCACUUUUUAAUUUUUUUAAUUUUUUAAUUUUAAUUUAGUUCAAUAGUAAGGCUGUGCCCUAAGGUUUAAGGUAGUGCAAAAAGAAAUCCGAGGUCCUCAUCUUCAGACCGCCUAUAUUUUGCUAUUAGAACUUUGAUUAGGAGAUCCGGGACUGGACCUCGGACCGUGUUUGGACUGCUGUAGGACUCACCUUUUUCCUAAGAGAUAAGGCAUGUGGCAUCACUCUCUCUUACCAUCCCUUUCUUUCUUGGAAAUUUGUUUCAUGCGGGCUAGAUCUUAUUUCUAUAAUACGUAAUGCAAUUAGGUGGUCUAUCUAAAAGCAAUUGAAACUAACAAUCCAAAUAUUUUCUUCACAAAAUCCUUAUUCGUAUAUCUUAAAUUUUAUUUAUUUAUUUAUAUUCAUUAUCUCUAUUUUGUACAUGUUUGUACAUGUCCUCCAAAAUUGGGUGGGAAAGAUCUCAAAAAUAGUUUUUUAAGAGUCGACUCAUUUCUAUAUGAAUUCGUAGAAACCGUGUCCUUAUUUCUUUGCUUCCUUCUUUAAAUCAUCUCAGGCCCCUCUUCAUCCCUUCUCCCAUUUCCCUUACUCAUAAAACCAGCAGCAUCACUGCCUCCUUAUCCCUCGUCUUCCCCCUCAUCCUCAUUCUCCACCACCCUCUCUCUCGCUUUUGUCUCAAAACCCUUUGUUUUUUUUCCUUUCAAGGGCGAUACUGGAAGACACGACCCGAGAUCUACCGGACAAAGUCGGACCCUUGAGCCUCUGAGCUAUUUCAAUGAGAACCAGUUCUAAAAUCGGCCUUGAAAGUGCUCAGAUCCCACAAGAUCUUCGCUUUUGAGACUCUCAUUUGCUUCAUGAAGGCCAAUCUUACGAAGAAAGCUUCCAGGAGUGUCUGGACAUUGUGAGACCGAACCUUUGGACAUCCACAUCCUCAGUGGCAUCGUUACUCCUUAGUGAGUUUGUACUCGCCUCGAUCCCGAAGGCACCACCCAUGGUCACGCCCCUACUUAAUCCUUAAUGGACCGCAUCAAGACUGGCAC